rnacentral:rRNA from 1 species
GACGAACGCCGGCGGCGUGCUUAACACAUGCAAGUCGAACGGAAAGGCCCUGCUUUUGUGGGGUGCUCGAGUGGCGAACGGGUGAGUAACACGUGAGUAACCUGCCCUUGACUUUGGGAUAACUUCAGGAAACUGGGGCUAAUACCGGAUAGGAGCUCCUGCUGCAUGGUGGGGGUUGGAAAGUUUCGGCGGUUGGGGAUGGACUCGCGGCUUAUCAGCUUGUUGGUGGGGUAGUGGCUUACCAAGGCUUUGACGGGUAGCCGGCCUGAGAGGGUGACCGGCCACAUUGGGACUGAGAUACGGCCCAGACUCCUACGGGAGGCAGCAGUGGGGAAUAUUGCACAAUGGGCGGAAGCCUGAUGCAGCAACGCCGCGUGCGGGAUGACGGCCUUCGGGUUGUAAACCGCUUUCGCCUGUGACGAAGCGUGAGUGACGGUAAUGGGUAAAGAAGCACCGGCUAACUACGUGCCAGCAGCCGCGGUGAUACGUAAGGUGCGAGCGUUGUCCGGAUUUAUUGGGCGUAAAGGGGCUCGUAGGUGGUUGAUCGGGUCGAAAGUGUAUUCUGGGGGCUUACCCUUGAGCGUGUUUUCGAUACGGGUGACUUGAAGGAAGGUAGGGGAGAAUGGAAUUCCUGGUGGAGCGGUGGAAUGCGCAGAUAUCAGGAGGACCACCAGUGGCGAAGGCGGUUCUCUGGGCCUUUCCUGACGCUGAGGAGCGAAAGCGUGGGGAGCGAACAAGCUUAAAUACCCUGGGUAGUCCACGCUGGUAACCGUGGGGUACUAAGUGUGGGGGUCAUUCCACCGGGUUCCGUGCCGGAACUAACGCUUUAAGUACCCCGCCUGGGGAGUACGGCCGCAAGGCUAAAACUCAAAGGAAUUGACGGGGCCCCGCACAAGCGGCGGAGCAUGCGGAUUAAUUCGAUGCAACGCGUAGAACCUUACCUGGGUUUGACAUGGAUCGGGAGUGCUCAGAGAUGGGUGUGCCUCUUUUGGGGUCGGUUCACAGGUGGUGCAUGGCUGUCGUCAGCUCGUGUCGUGAGAUGUUGGGUUAAGUCCCGCAACGAGCGCAACCCUUGUUCACUGUUGCCAGCACGUUAUGGUGGGGACUCAGUGGAGACCGCCGGGGUCAACUCGGAGGAAGGUGGGGAUGACGUCAAGUCAUCAUGCCCCUUAUGUCCAGGGCUUCACGCAUGCUACAAUGGCUGGUACAGAGAGUGGCGAGCCUGUGAGGGUGAGCGAAUCUCGGAAAGCCGGUCUCAGUUCGGAUUGGGGUCUGCAACUCGACCUCAUGAAGUCGGAGCCGCUAGUAAUCGCAGAUCAGCAACGCUGCGGUGAAUACGUUCCCGGGGCU